rnacentral:rRNA from 1 species
GAUGAACGCUGGCGGCGUGCUUAACACAUGCAAGUCGAACGAAGCAAUCAGACGGAAGUUUUCGGAUGGAAGACUGAUUGACUGAGUGGCGGACGGGUGAGUAACGCGUGGGUAACCUGCCUCAUACAGGGGAAUAACAGUUAGAAAUGACUGCUAAUACCGCAUAAGCGCACAGUAUCGCAUGAUACAGUGUGAAAAACUCCGGUGGUAUGAGAUGGACCCGCGUCUGAUUAGCUAGUUGGUAAGGUAACGGCUUACCAAGGCGACGAUCAGUCGCCGGACUGAGAGGUUGACCGGCCACAUUGGGACUGGGAUACGGCCCAGACUCCUACGGGAGGCAGCAGUGGGGAAUAUUGGGCAAUGGGCGCAAGCCUGACCCAGCAACGCCGCGUGAAGGAAGAAGGCUUUCGGGUUGUAAACUUCUUUGACCAGGGAAGAAACAAAUGACGGUACCUGGAAAACAAGCCACGGCUAACUACGUGCCAGCAGCCGCAGUAAAAC